rnacentral:rRNA from 1 species
UACGUAGGGAGCAAGCGUUGUCCGGAUUUACUGGGUGUAAAGGGUGCGUAGGCGGGAGCACAAGUCAGGCGUGAAAUACCGGGGCUCAACUCCGGGGCUGCGCUUGAAACUGUGUUUCUUGAGUGAAGUAGAGGCAGGCGGAAUUCCUAGUGUAGCGGUGGAAUGCGUAGAUAUUAGGAGGAACACCAGUGGCGAAGGCGGCCUGCUGGGCUCUAACUGACGCUGAUGCACGAAAGCAUGGGGAGCAAACAGG